rnacentral:rRNA from 1 species
CAGUAGCCACGGGAAAACGGAGGGGGCCAGCGUUGUUCGGAAUUACUGGGCGUAAAGCGCACGUAGGCGGCUUGGUAAGUUAGAGGUGAAAGCCCGGAGCUCAACUCCGGAAUUGCCUUUAAGACUGCCGAGCUAGUAGGUGAGAGAGGUAAGUGGAAUUCCGAGUGUAGAGGUGAAAUUCGUAGAUAUUCGGAAGAACACCAGUGGCGAAGGCGGCUUACUGGCUCAUUCUAGACGCUGAGGUGCGAAAGCGUGGGGAGCAAACAGGAUUAGAUACCCCAGUAGUCCCUGUCUCUUAUAC